rnacentral:rRNA from 1 species
GAUGAACGCUGGCGGCGUGCCUAAUACAUGCAAGUCGAGCGAACAGAUAAGGAGCUUGCUCCUUUGACGUUAGCGGCGGACGGGUGAGUAACACGUGGAUAACCUACCUAUAAGACUGGGAUAACUUCGGGAAACCGGAGCUAAUACCGGAUAACAUAUUGAACCGCAUGGUUCAAUAGUGAAAGGCGGCUUUGCUGUCACUUAUAGAUGGAUCCGCGCCGUAUUAGCUAGUUGGUAAGGUAACGGCUUACCAAGGCAACGAUACGUAGCCGACCUGAGAGGGUGAUCGGCCACACGGGAACUGAGACACGGUCCAGACUCCUACGGGAGGCAGCAGUAGGGAAUCUUCCGCAAUGGGCGAGAGCCUGACGGAGCAACGCCGCGUGAGUGAUGAAGGUCUUCGGAUCGUAAAACUCUGUUAUCAGGGAGGAACAAAUGUGUAAGUAACUGUGCACAUCUUGACGGUACCUGAUCAGAAAGCCACGGCUAACUACGUG